UACGUAGGGUGCGAGCGUUAAUCGGAAUUACUGGGCGUAAAGCGUGCGCAGGCGGUGAUGUCAGACAGAUGUGAAAUCCCCGGGCUCAACCUGGGAACUGCAUUUGUGACUGCAUCGCUGGAGUGCGGCAGAGGGGGAUGGAAUUCCGCGUGUAGCAGUGAAAUGCGUAGAUAUGCGGAGGAACACCGAUGGCGAAGGCAAUCCCCUGGGCCUGCACUGACGCUCAUGCACGAAAGCGUGGGGAGCAAACAGG
rnacentral:rRNA from 1 species